rnacentral:rRNA from 1 species
AAGUCGGACGGGAUUGAGGUUAAUAGCUUGCUUUGAUUUCAUGAGAGUGGCGCACGGGUGCGUAACGCGUGAGCAACCUACCCAUAUCAGGGGGAUAGCCUCUCGAAAGAGAGAUUAACACCGCAUAACAUCAUUAACCGGCAUCGGAUUAUGAUCAAAUAUUUAUAGGAUAUGGAUGGGCUCGCGUGACAUUAGCUAGUUGGAGAGGUAACGGCUCACCAAGGCUACGAUGUCUAGGGGCUCUGAGAGGAGAAUCCCCCACACUGGUACUGAGACACGGACCAGACUCCUACGGGAGGCAGCAGUAAGGAAUAUUGGUCAAUGGAGGCAACUCUGAACCAGCCAUGCCGCGUGCAGGAUGACUGCCCUAUGGGUUGUAAACUGCUUUUGUCAGGGAAUAAACCUUUCUACGUGUAGAAAGCUGAAUGUACCUGAAGAAUAAGGAUCGGCUAACUCCGUGCCAGCAGCCGCGGUAAUACGGAGGAUCCAAGCGUUAUCCGGAUUUAUUGGGUUUAAAGGGUGCGUAGGCGGUCCUAUAAGUCAGUGGUGAAAGACGGCAGCUUAACUGUCGCAGUGCCUUUGAUACUGUAGGACUUGAAUCUAUUUGAAGUGGGCGGAAUAAGACAAGUAGCGGUGAAAUGCAUAGAUAUGUCUUAGAACUCCGAUUGCGAAGGCAGCUCACUAAGUUAGUAUUGACGCUGAUGCACGAAAGCGUGGGGAUCAAACAGGAUUAGAUACCCUGGUAGUCCACGCCCUAAACGAUGAUAACUCGAUGUUUGCGAUACACAGUAAGCGUCCAAGCGAAAGCGUUAAGUUAUCCACCUGGGGAGUACGGUCGCAAGAUUGAAACUCAAAGGAAUUGACGGGGGCCCGCACAAGCGGAGGAGCAUGUGGUUUAAUUCGAUGAUACGCGAGGAACCUUACCCGGGCUUGAAAGUUAGUGAAUGAUCCAGAGACGGAUCAGUCCUUCGGGACACGAAACUAGUGCUGCAUGGCUGUCG